UUUUCUGUCAUUUUAUGUUACUAGAAGAUUACAAAAUCAAAACAUUUAUCAGUUAGUGAGCAGAAAUAGUAUAAGCUCCAUUGAAAAAAAUUAAAAAAGGAAAAAAUAUCACAGCAUCCCAAGACUUUUGUGGCAUGACUUUUUUCCCUUUAAAGGAUGUAAACUGGAGUCAACGAGAGAAGCUGAAGUCCUAAAAAGGUUAGUCAGUGCCUUCGUGGUGUAGUGGUUCGGCACCCUGGGCCGGUGUUUUUUCCAGAAAGCGGUCCAAUGCAUUCACAUAGAAAAAUUAAAGGUGUUCGACUACAUCUUACUACUGGAAGACAAAAGAACUACGGCCGCUUGCGGCACAUCUUGUUCGAGACGGGAACUUCCCUGCUUAAUGUAGGAUAAUACUGUCAAUAAUUGUAAAUAGUGUUCAUAAACUCCGUAUUUAUCCUUCUUAUAUCAUUAUUUAGUAUUUAUCUUAUAUGUAUCCUGUAUUCAAUUAUAAUAUUGUAUUUAUGUAUAAAUAAAAUGUG